rnacentral:rRNA from 1 species
UACGAAGGGGGCUAGCGUUGCUCGGAAUGACUGGGCGUAAAGGGCGCGUAGGCGGCUCAUACAGUCAGAUGUGAAAUUCCUGGGCCUAACCUGGGGGCUGCAUUUGAUACGUGUGGGCUUGAGUGGGGAAGAGGGUCGUGGAAUUCCCAGUGUAGAGGUGAAAUUCGUAGAUAUUGGGAAGAACACCGGUGGCGAAGGCGGCGACCUGGUCCUUGACUGACGCUGAGGCGCGAAAGCGUGGGGAGCGAACAGG